GAUGAAACGCUGGCGGCGUGCUUAACACAUGCAAGUCGAACGGGAAACAUUUUAUUGAAGCUUCGGCAGAUUUAGUUUGUUUCUAGUGGCGGACGGGUGAGUAACGCGUGGGUAACCUGCCUCACACUGGGGGAGGUAACAAGUCAGAAAAUAGACUGCUAAUACCGCAUAAGCGCACGAGACCGCAUGGUUUUGUGUGAAAAACUACCGGUGGUGUGAGAUGGA
rnacentral:rRNA from 1 species